rnacentral:rRNA from 1 species
GGUCGAAAGACGGACUUAGUGAUCCGGUGGUUCCGCAUGGAAGGGCCAUCGCUCAACGGAUAAAAGCUACCCCGGGGAUAACAGGCUUAUCUCCCCCAAGAGUCCACAUCGACGGGGAGGUUUGGCACCUCGAUGUCGGCUCAUCGCAUCCUGGGGCUGUAGUCGGUCCCAAGGGUUGGGCUGUUCGCCCAUUAAAGCGGUACGCGAGCUGGGUUCAGAACGUCGUGAGACAGUUCGGUCCCUAUCCGUCGCGGGCGCAGGAAAUUUGAGAGGAGCUGUCCUUAGUACGAGAGGACCGGGAUGGACACACCGCUGGUGUACCAGUUGUUCUGCCAAGAGCAUCGCUGGGUAGCUAUGUGUGGCCGGGAUAAGUGCUGAAAGCAUCUAAGCACGAAGCCCCCCUCAAGAUGAGAUUUCCCAUUGCGCAAGCAAGUAAGAUCCCUCAAAGACGAUGAGGUAGAUAGGUUCGGGGUGGAAGCGUGGCGACACGUGCAGCUGACGAAUACUAAUCGAUCGAGGACUUAACCAA